AAUAAUAUUUUCUGCUCAGGUGCUUUGAUUCUAUCAAGGCUUAAAAGGGAACCGGGUGAAAAUCCCGGACGGUUCGGCCACUGUGAAUGGUUAGCUGCUUCCAAAAUGCCACUGUGCUGCUCCGGCGCUUAAAAAUUGAGUGCCUAAUCAGGAUGGGAAGGCGGGAGAUGAGCAAUGAUCCAUAAGUCAGGAGACCUGCCCGAGCGGAACAGCAUAU
rnacentral:ncRNA from 2 species